UAUUAAAAAAGACUGUGCUCAGGCAGUGCAGAAGUAUUGAUAAUUAUAUUUUUCAUCAGGGAGUAGGAAAAUAAAGGAGGAGAAGCAGUGUUGUACUAGGUCUGGAAAAAGAGAAUCUCCAGCUGUAUGAAUCAAAGACCCUGUCUAUGCCACUCUCUGUUCCUAUGGUAAGUCUACUUUCAUGGUUAUUUCACCAUCUUUUACUCUCCCCUCUCUAGUAAUGGGAUCUUCCAGACACAGACAUAAGAGCUGCCUUGAAUCUUUCCAGCUGCCUCCAGUACCUGCUGCACACAUCUACUGCCAAAACCUGACCCAUCCUACUCACAAGCAUGACAUACAAAGCAGCAGCACUUGUCUUCUUUCAGUGAUGAGAUGAAAGACUUUUCUACUCUUUCAUCCACUUUAGCUUCAACAAGUGCUGCAAGAUUGCCCCCUUCCCCAAUGGUGUCCAUGAAGGCUAAAACUAGAAACACCUGCAGAAAUCUGGUCUUCACCACAACCCCGCAAAAUCACACUCCUUGAGUGGGCACCUGAAAAAACCCAUCCAAACAAAUCCAAGGCUUCAAAUCAAGGCAUAAAAAGUUGCUGUCUGUAGGAAGACUAAAUGAGUAAAUUCAAAUAAACACAUAACUUUUAGAUUACUAAAAACUGAAUCUCAUCCCAAGGACAAGAGGUAAUGUUUUUAAGUUGUGCCAGGCAAGGUUCAGGUUGGAUCUUAGGACAAAUUUCUUCUCAGAAAGGGUGGUGAUGCAUUGGAAUAGGCUACCCAAAGAGGUGGUGAAGUCACUGUCACUGGAGGUCUUCAAGAAACAUGUAGAUGUGGCACUUAGGGACGUGGUUUACUGGGGAUGGUACAGACAGAUCAAUGGUUGGACUAGAUAAUCUUACUGGUCUUUUCCAACCUUGAUGAUUCUAUGAUUUUAAGUGCCCCAUCCCAUUAGAGAAGGGAGAUCCUGUAAGCUGCCUGGAGGUCCACAAAUCCUUGUCACUUGGUAUCUCUCUUCAGGAGCUCACAAUUGCCAGGAAGUGAUGCAAGAAUGGGAAACCAGUCUGGCAUGCCUCACCUCCAAGUAGUUCAGCACUCCUCUUUCCUGCCUUUUUACACCCCUAGGCCAUCUUGAGUUCAAGAGCAGAUACACGUUGCCCUGCAAAUCCACUAUGCUGAGAGGACUGGCAGCAGAAGGUGCCACCAGGUGUCCUGCUUGAGGACAGGAGCAUGGAGGGAGAGCAGGAUGGGAGGGCCAUUGAGCAAGUGCAUUCCUACCAAAGUUUAAGUGCUUCUCUUUCAAAAUGACCUCAGGUCCUCUGACACCUAUCAAGUCUGAUAGACUGAGCAGUGAUUUCUCUCAGGCAAGUGUAAAUCUUAUACCACUUCCCACAUGAUAUUACUUUCCACAUGUCUGAUGGCUCUGGAAACAAGUAAUCAAAUUAAUAGGACUAUUUAACUUUCAUUCAUAUCUUAGCUGCCACCAUAAAUUUCAACCGUCAGAAGAUGGUAAAAUGUUAGUUUUGCUUUAUUUGGAGGAGAUAUUCAUUUUCACAACUUUUGCCUUAUUAAAUCCAGCAGUUUUUUUUUUUCUUGGUUAAGACUGUAUGAUUCACAUUGACAGCAAUUUCAAAAACCACUCCAAACCUUCACUGUUUACAUUUGGUUUUGUGAACAGGUCAUAUUCCUACCAUUAAAAGUUUAUGAUUAUUUAAUAGGAAGACUGUAAAUAUAUUCUUCCUGGAUCUGAAAACUUCAGUGGUUAAAAAGUACAGCUGGAACGAUAUGCAACAAUACAGUUCUUUAGCUGCUCCUCUGAGCUCCUUCUCAGCAAUACAGGGACCACACCAAAACAGUCCACUCCUUAUUCUGCUGGCUUCUGACUGCCUGUUGCAUCAGGUUCAUUAUGAGAUUAUUUAUCAGCAAAACGCCCAAUAGUCCCAGCCUAUGAUUACUAAAGGGAUCGUGUUACUUUUCAGGAGUAAGUGUUCUGUCUUCUUCUCUGCUGUGACUUAAUGGAAACUGCAACAGGGCAGAGAAGGAACUGCUGAUCUAGGGCCGGAAAACAGGAUAUGAUCAUCCAAUGCAAAAGUCAUCAGCUACUGUGAGAUUUCAUUCUUCAGUCAAGGUGUGGUAGUAGCCUGUGUGUGUGCCCUGAGUUAAUCUCAAUCGCAGACUAAUUUAAACAACUGUUAAUCUGUAUCCCAACUGUUCCCCACUUUGAAGGGCAGUUGAAGGGCAGAUUUUCAAUCUACCUUUCUCAAGUAGCAGCCUUUUGAAUAUUUAAUUAAAACAUUGUGCAAGGAACUUCCCCUUCAGCCUCCGUCCACACAUAUACCAUGAGCAAAAAAAAAAGAUUUGGUGGUUGCUAUCAACAUUGCUUCUCACAGCUUUGUGGACAGCAGUUGAGCACCAUGUUGGUGUGUGUGAUACACACAGUAGAAUCUUGAAUUCUAUCAAAAUUCGAAAGAAUCGAAAACAAAUUAGAAUCUCGCCAAUUUUAAGUGCCUUGAAAGACAUAAAGUCAGUUUUGGUUGCAGUAAGGACCUUGCACAGUGACUAAAUAGAUCAGGACAUGCUACUCAGAGCUGAAAACUGUUAAGAGACAUUCUGUAUUCACUCAUAAUAAACUGUUUGCAGAGAAGA